rnacentral:tRNA from 1 species
GUCCCGGUAGCUCAGUUGGUAGAGCAUCUGACUGUUAAUCAGAGGGUCAUAGGUUCGAGUCCUAUCCGGGACGC